CCACUUUCUGCAUCACAAUGGAAUAGUAGACCAUCUAUUCCAGGGAGAAAUGAUGUAAUAGAUGCAAUUUCAUUGACUCUCUCAUAGUCCCUUCUAGAAAACUGCAGUGCAGCCGGUUCUAAGAUUGACAUCUACCCCAAGGCCAGCCAACUCAUUUCCUAACCAAUUACCAACAAGAUCUGCUCUCUUUGAAUCUGUGCGAACAGGACAUAAAGCUGGUCUGUGGUGGGUAUUGGGCCCAAGAGACCAGGAUACAAAGUUGGGGCUAUUGACGUCAUACAGAGCCACAUGUAAGGGGAAGCCAGCUGCCAUGUCACGAAAACACUUGGGUAGCCUACAGAGAUGCUCUGUAGAUGCCUACAGAGACUAGAUGCACUAAAGUCUCCAGUCAACAGCCAACAAGGAAAGAGUCUGUCAACAACCAUGCAGUCAAUAGAAGCCAGAGAAUGUGAAGGAAGAGUUUGACUCCUCUCCUGAGCAGAAUAUUUAGGUCAUACAUGAUUGUUUGUCUUCAAGCAAACCAGUACAAUUAUGCAACAGAAAUUCUUUUGAAGCAUCUGGGACUUCAGUUCAAUUUAAAAUCCUGUGGGGUUUAUUACCAGAAUGAAUGAUUAUAAAAUAUACGCAUGCAAAUGAAGAGAUAAGAAAAUUAAAGAGCAUAUGAAAUUUAAUGCACG